AUGUUGUGUGAAUGGAGAUAACAUUAGCACUCCUUUGGACAAGGAUGGAAUAAGCUGUUGGGCCUGAGAACAUAAAUAUAGUUAAGGCACGGCCACCUACUUUUUGGCUUCUAACCAUUGUUUUUA